AAAGUCGUAACAAGGUUUCCGUAGGUGAACCUGCGGAAGGAUCAUUAAUGAGUUCAUGCCCUCACGGGUAGACCUCCACCCUUGCUUAUUAUAUACAUGUUGCUUUGGCGGAAGCUACUACCUCUUCUAUAGGGAUCAGUCGCCGCCGCCAGAGGACCCCAAACCCUGAAUAAUAGUGUCGUCUGAGUACUAUAUAAUAGUUAAAACUUUCAACAACGGAUCUCUUGGUUCUG
rnacentral:misc_RNA from 1 species